GAAGUUCUCACCUAGCACACAGGAGCAAAUACAUUUAGAGCCUUCUGACGGAAAUGCAAAAGUUAUACUGGAUGUUCUACCAUACGUCAUAUUGGACAAAAACUACCGCUCUAACAGAAGCUAUAGUCUGCACACAGCUCUACAGAGAAAGACAUUUUCGGUUGAUGAAAUUGCUCAUAUUAUCCAUACUCUCGUCAGCUACUUGGCUAUACUUCAUGAUAACGGACUGGUUCUUGACAACAAUAUAGACGAGAAAAAUAUAAAGCUGCAAGUUUCACAUAAUCUGCAGAUAACCAGUAAAGCGAAGAUUGAAGGAUUUCCUACGCUUUCGUCAAAUAGAACAAAACGAGGUGAUCGAGGAAAGGAUAUACACAAGAUUGGACUACUUACAAAAAGACUUUUAAGGGCCG
rnacentral:lncRNA from 1 species